rnacentral:ncRNA from 1 species
UUAACAGCUAAGAUGGAGAGGAGUAAAUAAUUUAAGCUUACAGAGAGAGACGCUCUAAGGCUGGAAAGUGUCUUAAGUCCUUAAAUUAUUGAAGUAGCUUUUGAGCUAUUAGACUGAAACAAAAGUAGGUUUAAUCGGUUACUAGCCGUUAUCUAGUUUGAGGGUCUAAAGUAAUUACUUUAGAAACUAAGGUGGUACCGCGAGAGUAAACUUUCUUUCGUCCUUAUU